UACAGGGGGUGCGAGCGUUGCUCGGAAUCACUGGGCGUAAAGCGUACGCAGGCUGUCGUGCAAGUCGGGUGUGAAAGCCCCGGGCUCAACCUGGGAAUUGCGCGCGAAACGGGGGGGCUUGAGUUCGGGAGAGGAGCGUGGAAUUCCCAGUGUAGAGGUGAAAUUCGUAGAUAUUGGGAAGAACACCGGUGGCGAAGGCGGCGCUCUGGACCGAGACUGACGCUGAGGCGCGAAAGCGUGGGGAGCAAACAGG
rnacentral:rRNA from 1 species